GACAGAGGGGGCAAGCGUUGCUCGGAAUUACUGGGCGUAAAGGGCGCGUAGGCGGAAUGGCAAGUCGGUCGUGAAAUCCUUCGGCUCAACCGAAGAACGUCGAUCGAAACUGCCGUUCUUGAGGAUUGCAGAGGAGACUGGAAUUCCCGGUGUAGCGGUGAAAUGUGUAGAGAUCCGGAGGAACCCCAGAGGCGAAGGCGGCAGCCUGGUUGGUAUCUGACGCUCGGACACGACAGCAUGGGGAGCGAACGGG
rnacentral:rRNA from 1 species